AUUGAACGCUGGCGGCAUGCUUUACACAUGCAAGUCGAACGGCAGCGCGGGGCAACCUGGCGGCGAGUGGCGAACGGGUGAGUAAUAUAUCGGAACGUACCCAGGAGUGGGGGAUAACGUAGCGAAAGUUACGCUAAUACCGCAUACGACCCAAGGGUGAAAGUGGGGGAUCGCAAGACCUCAUGCUCAUGGAGCGGCCGAUAUCUGAUUAGCUAGUUGGUGAGGUAAAGGCUCACCAAGGCGACGAUCAGUAGCUGGUCUGAGAGGACGACCAGCCACACUGGGACUGAGACACGGCCCAGACUCCUACGGGAGGCAGCAGUGGGGAAUUUUGGACAAUGGGGGCAACCCUGAUCCAGCAAUGCCGCGUGAGUGAAGAAGGCCUUCGGGUUGUAAAGCUCUUUUGUCAGGGAAGAAACGGCUGUGGCUAAUAUCCACGGCUAAUGACGGUACCUGAAGAAUAAGCACCGGCUAACUACGUGCCAGCAGCCGCCGUAACAC
rnacentral:rRNA from 1 species